CGUAGGGUGCGAGCGUUGUCCGGAAUUAUUGGGCGUAAAGGGCUCGUAGGCGGUUUGUCGCGUCGGGAGUGAAAACCAUGAGCUUAACUCAUGGCUUGCUUUCGAUACGGGCAGACUGGAGGUAUGCAGGGGAGAACGGAAUUCCUGGUGUAGCGGUGAAAUGCGCAGAUAUCAGGAGGAACACCGGUGGCGAAGGCGGUUCUCUGGGCAUUACCUGACGCUGAGGAGCGAAAGUGUGGGGAGCGAACAGGAUUAGAUACCCUGGUAGUCCACACCGUAAACGUUGGGCGCUAGGUGUGGGGCCUAUUCCAUGGGUUCCGUGCCGCAGCUAACGCAUUAAGCGUCCCGCCUAGGGAGUACGGCCGCAAGGCUA
rnacentral:rRNA from 1 species